rnacentral:rRNA from 1 species
AGGAACCUGCCUCGAAGAGGGGGACAACAGUUGGAAACGACUGCUAAUACCGCAUAAGCCCACGACCCGGCAUCGGGAAGAGGGAAAAGGAGCAAUCCGCUUUGAGAUGGCCUCGCGUCCGAUUAGCUAGUUGGUGAGGUAACGGCCCACCAAGGCGACGAUCGGUAGCCGGACUGAGAGGUUGAACGGCCACAUUGGGACUGAGACACGGCCCAGACUCCUACGGGAGGCAGCAGUGGGGAAUAUUGCACAAUGGGGGAAACCCUGAUGCAGCGACGCCGCGUGGAGGAAGAAGGUCUUCGGAUUGUAAACUCCUGUUGUUGAGGAAGAUAAUGACGGUACUCAACAAGGAAGUGACGGCUAACUACGUGCCAGCAGCCGCGGUAAAACGUAGGUCACAAGCGUUGUCCGGAAUUACUGGGUGUAAAGGGAGCGCAGGCGGGCGAUCAAGUUGGAAGUGAAAUCCAUGGGCUCAACCCAUGAACUGCUUUCAAAACUGGUCGUCUUGAGUAGUGCAGAGGUAGGCGGAAUUCCCGGUGUAGCGGUGGAAUGCGUAGAUAUCGGGAGGAACACCAGUGGCGAAGGCGGCCUACUGGGCACCAACUGACGCUGAGGCUCGAAAGUGUGGGUAGCAAACAGGAUUAGAUACCCUGGUAGUCCACACCGUAAACGAUGAUUACUAGGUGU